GCCAGCAUGAUGUAGUGGUUUGAGCACUGGACUACAACUCUGGAGACCAGGGUUCAAUUCCCUGCUCAACCA